rnacentral:rRNA from 1 species
UGUUAAACGGCCGCGGAACCCUAACCGUGCGAAGGUAGCACAAUCACUUGUUCUUUAAAUUAGGACUAGUAUGAAUGGCCUCACGAGAGCUAUACUGUCUCCCCCCUUUAAUCAGUGAAACUGAUCUCCUCGUGAAGAAGCGAGGAUAAUCAUAUAAGACGAGAAGACCCCAUGGAGCUUUAAACUUGUACCACUGCUUUCCCUACACCAACUAACCCAAGCAAGUAUGACUACAAGUCUUUCGGCUGGGGCGACCACGGAGAAAAACCUAACCUCCAUGACGAAAGGAACUACCCUAAUUGAAGAGCCACUGCUCAAAGAAUCAGUAAACUGACACAUUGACCCAAACAUUUUGAUCAACGAACCAAGUUACCCUGGGGAUAACAGCGCAAUCCAUUUCAAGAGACCCCAUCAACAAAUGGGCUUAC